rnacentral:rRNA from 1 species
UACAGAGGUCCCCAAGCGUUGUUCGGAUUUACUGGGCGUAAAGGGUGCGUAGGCGGCCAAAAAGUCUGGUGUGAAAUCUUGGAGCUUAACUUCGAAACUGCAUUGGAUACUGGCUGGCUUGAGGAGUGGAUGGGAGACUGGAAUUCUCGGUGUAGCAGUGAAAUGCGUAGAUAUCGAGAGGAACACCAGUGGCGAAAGCGAGUCUCUGGACAUUUCCUGACGCUGAGGCACGAAAGCCAAGGGAGCAAACGGGAUUAGAUACCCCUGUAGU